rnacentral:lncRNA from 1 species
AUUGCCUAUAAUUGUAAACAUCUGAACAUCAGGAUUUUCAGGAAAAGUUCUGCCCUGCAAGAGUGAAACCCAACCCAAUGUUGUUUUUGCCUGGUGACUCUUCAGGCUACUUGUCAUGGAGAGGCCAACCCAGCAAUUUACCAAGAGAAUUGCAUCAGGAAGAGCCUAGCCGAUUCUUUCAAGAAGUCAUAUCACCAGAGAUAAUCAGGGCUCUGAGCAGAAAAUGCCACAUGCCCCAGCCUCUUCUCCUUUCCUCGGAACAUGUGUCCUUCAGAAGUGUGUCAAAACAGCACUGGAUCUCAUGUUACCUUCUGCCAGUGUAAGCCUUGACCAGACUCGAUUUGCUUCAACUCAUACAUUUAAGUGAAAUGCCUGAAAUUAAAAUGACAUAACCCUGGCCCAAAGGAGAGGGGACUGUGGUGGGAAGAGCUUGGAAGACCUGGGUUUCAGUCCCAACUUCAGCGUUUAACAACUGUGGGAGAGGAGGAUGAAUGGCUUAAGACAACUCAGCUUCCUCAUCUGCAAAAUGGGAAGGAAUGGAACCAGAAGAUCGAUUCUGAACCUUCUAAGAAGACACGACCCUUUUUGAACAACGUCAGAAGCUUCUGCUCACCUCCCUCAAUCUGGGCACACGGUCUUCUUCAGCAACUCCUGGCCCUGGUGGAGAAACCCCAGCUAGAUAGUCACCCAGCUCUUUGUGAGGCUGAUGUUUGCUCAUGCUGUGAUGGAGAAGGGCAAGAUGUGUUCCUGGGACUGUAGCAAGAGAAAUGCCUAACAUGAUUGGCCUGUGGCUCUCCCCAUGUACAAUUUGCCCUUAUCGUGAUAAGGUUAUACAUAGUCAUAAACUAUAAAAUUAAAGUCUGUAUGAACUAUAAUAAAUACCUGUAGCUAAAAAAGUAGGUUCACAUGUAAACAAACAAACAAACAAACAAACAAAAGAUGGAUUAGAAAGAGAGAUGCAAAGGGACUCUGCACAGGCUCUGAUGUGGCUGCUUCUCUGGAAGAAACUAAUGGCCAAAGUCCAAGUCAGGGUGGGAACAGCCAAGCUGGUGUCUCCCCUCAAAACUCAGCCCCUGAGCUGCAGGAAGGAAGGCAGCCUGGGAGCCUGGGGAAAGAGACACCCCUUGACAAGUGGCUCGUUCCACAGGGAGACUCUGGGGAAGCUCCCUGCUACCCUCCAGCUCCAAGGAUGUGAGACUUUAGAAGCUCUGCCUCCAGGAACACCUGAAUAUUCCCCAUCAGUAUUGUUUCCAGACGCUUUCAAUGAGAGACCCGAAUGAUCUGUGACGAGCCCCUCUGCCUUUCAGCUGGCAGUGCUUUUAGCCUCAGCCUUGUCUUACUCAAACUUCCUUUGAACAUCCCUGCCCAUUUCCCCCUUCAUCCUACUAUGUAUACGAAGCUCCAUAAAUUCUUCUCAAAUGAGGGUUAAAGUGUAAAGAGGUAAAGCUGCUUAAUGGUUAAAAAACAAAACAAAACAGAUUCUGGAGCUGUACCACCUCACUUCAGAUAUAAGCUUAAUAGCUGUGUGUCCUUGGUAAGCUACUUACCCUCUCUGUGCCUCAUUGCUUCACCUAUAAAAUGUAGUUAAUAAUCUAUUCAACUUCAUAGGAUUGUGAGAUAUGAGUGAGUUAAUAAAGUGCUUAGAAGAGUGUCUGGCACAGAGCAAGCACUUCACGGUAUUGGCUGUGAUUAUUUUCCAAAAUUUCUCACAUUUUUUCCCCUAAAUUAGUUCCUUCCUCAGUAUUUUUAUUUUUUGGGAAAAAGGAAAAGCCAUAGGCACACAAUAAAGCAGCUAUAGAGUCAGUAGUAACAAAAUUGAAGAAUUUCUACCCUCUGUCUUUCCUCUUACUCUUCUCCUAAUUUGGAAAGGAUGAUUCGUCAUUAUUUUCUAUGAAUCCAUCACCUGUAAUUAAUUGAUUUUUUUUUUCAAAAAGGACUAUUAGUGAACUUAAUAAUGCAAGCAGGACUGGGGAGAAGACUUGGAGGAAGAUGGAUUUGCCUCUCAUCCAGGUCUCUGUCUCCCUCCCGAGGUACCUUUACUGCUAGAGGGAACGGAGCACCACAGAUAUUUUCCUUUGAAUUUUCAAGUUUGGGUAUAAAUUUGAAGCUAAUGUUCAGAUUUAGUUUUGAAAUUAAUCUAUUAAAAUCUGAUGGGGGAGUUCCCGCUGUGGCACAGGGGAAAGGAAUCUGACUAGGAACCAUGAGGUUGCAGGUUCGAUCCCGCCUUGCUUGGUGGGUUAAGAAUCUGGCGUUGCUGUGGCUGUGGUGUAGGCUGGUGGCUACAGCUCCGAUUCGACCCCUAGCCUGGGAACCUCCAUAUGCCACAAGUGUGGCCCUAUAAAGACAAAAAAAAAAAAAAAAAAAAAAAAAAAAAAAAA